rnacentral:rRNA from 1 species
CUGCUGCCUCCCGUAGGAGCUUGGGCCGUGUCUCAGUCCCAAUGUGGCCGUCCACCCUCUCAGGCCGGCUACUGAUCGCUGCCUUGGUGGGCCGUUACCCCGCCAACUAGCUAAUCAGACGCGGAUCCAUCGUAUACCACCGGAGUUUUUCACACUGCCCCAUGCGGAGCCGUGCGCUUAUGCGGUAUUAGCACCUAUUUCUAAGUGUUAUCCCCCGGUAUACGGCAGGUUAUCCACGCGUUACUCACCCGUCCG